CACGGGCCCUACAACCUGCUGGGCUGGCGCCUGAGCACGGUGCUGGCGCUCGAGGUGCAGCGCCAGCUCGAGGCGGCUGGCAAGCGCGGUGUGCUUUUCCUGGUGCACGGCGACGUCACCAGGGUGCAACAGUGGGCCCAGCAGCGCCUCGGCGGCGACGCCGCUGACGGUGUCCGGGAUGGGCUCGUGAACGGCGAGGCGGCUCGAGCUGAGGAGGGAGCUCAGGUCCUCGACGAACUCCUGGAGGCCGUCGCGGCGCACAAGUCUGACGUAUCCCGGCCCUUCGCCGGCUACGUGAAAAUCGUCCGCACCGGCGAGGAUGAGCUGCAGUCGCUGGGACAGAGCGACAAGGACCCCCACGUCAAGGUGCAGACCCUCGCGGACCGCAGCCUGGACAGCGAGGCGCUGGCCGCCUUCAUCAACGAGAACGCUGCUUGGUCGCAGCUCGCUGGCGAGGCCGACCUGCGCCUCGCCAUUAACCUAGCGAGCUCGUCGCUCUAAUAUUUAGAAUUAGAAUGGUUGAUAUUAAAUGUGCAUAUUAAUUUUUAAA